CAGGCUGUCAAGAUGGAUGUUGCCUGUCCUGAUGUGUGUUCUAUCACUUUGACUCACCCACCAGUGAAGCUCAACCAGCUAUUCAAGUUUCAUUCUUGCCUAUUUACAGGAACAAAAUGUCAUCUCGGAAUUGAAAAAUUGGCCCAAAUUCUUUGGCUUACUAGGUUUGAAUGAAAAGAUAGACUCCUGAAGUGGGAUGAUGAAUUAGAAGAAGAUGAUCCAUGGGGACCGAUGAAUAUUUUGUGCAGUAAAAACUGUACCUUGGCUUCAAUGUCAAGCAUCAGGGCACAAGGAUUAGAGGCUCUACGCCAAAAACUUCACAAACAAUAAAAUUGAUCUUUGCUUAAUUCUGUAUACAAUAGGAAAAAAAAAAUUCUGUAUACAAUAGGAAAAGGAAAUGAUUAUUCCUGAUUAUUUAGAGAUGAGGAAACUGAUGCUCAGGAAAGGUGGAUGAAAUGAUUAGUACAAUUGAUAAAGUCAUAAAAACAUGAAUAUUUAAGAUAAACUUUAUCGCAAGAGACUUACUGUACUGUUAAACUUGAGACACUACGACUGUAGGAAGAAGCAUCCUGUGAAUAAAAUGAUUGCCAUUCAGCCCUUGGCGUUUCCUCUAGUAAUCCUGCAGAGAGGCUCAUCGGAGUCUGAAAGUGAAGAGGAGAGCCAGCGCUGGGAGGCCCCUGUGGGAUAGGUCAUCAAGGAAAUCUGAGAAGGCUUGUGACUUGCUGGAAUGCAUAACUGAAGAAGACUGGAUUCAGGGAAUAUCGCACAAAAGGACAAAUAGCUAUAACUUUGGGGGAGCAGGACAUAGAAGGUUUCCAGUAAAUGGAGUUCUGCCCAGAAUUACAAGAUUGGGCCAGAUCAUUGCCCUGAUGGUGAGGAUUAUCUGGUUAAAACUCUGAGACGCUUCAGGAAAAAAAUAAAAGCACAAAUGUAAAAGCAUGAAAAUCAUCCUUUGUCCUCCCAUAGCCCAUCUCUUUUUUCCAAUCUCCGUCGUAUAUUCGGGGUCUUAAGUUUAAGGAUUCCUCAGUUUUUACCAAACCAUCGCAUUAUAGUAUGUUCAAAGGUAUUAGUAUGCCCAAUAAUUGACAUUUCGUAAAUAUACAGUGUAAUUUCAAACUUACCAUGUAAAUCUGAGUCAUCUAGAUGCUGACAUAAAAUCCCUUUUCUAUAAUUUUAACUAUUUUUCAGAAAAAGAUAAAAAAAUGGAUGCUGUUCUGUUUCAUUCUAAUUACUAUCACUAAAAUGGAAAGAAACCAACUCUAUCAGGCUUGACUGAAUGUUAAGUGGGAUUCCCUCCUUGAAGAAAUUUUUGCAUCGUCAAGGGAUUAAACUGGCAGCUGUCAGGCUUUUCUCAUGCAAACCACAGACUUUGCCCCUCCUCUUCGAGUCUGAUGGAGAUUUAUGCCAGAUGCUUAGAAGAAAGGACUGUAUUUCAAAAUCUGAAAGUCAGCAUAGGGGGAGAGAGGAUUGCAGUAGGAAAAAAGUGGAUUGUUUCAUCAUUCUGAAGUUCUUGAAAGUUUGGGAACAUGCGUUGUUAGCAAAUAAAUUACCUAACUAACACACAAGACAUAGGUACCAUCAAAUUAAAGAGUCAGAACACUUAUUUGGUCAGAGUGGGUUUCCUCCUGGUCAUAUUGUUUUCUUGACUUUAGGAAAAUAUGGAUUGAUUUUGAGAUGCUUGCCACAAAAACUCCCAAGUUUUCUUUUAUGAUUGCUUCACUGAAAUAGACAUAGAUGAAAUUGCCAAGAAAUGAUCGUUCCUCAAAUUUAAGUGCUGAAUAAUUCCAUUAUCUGGAUGUCCCACGGUUUACUUAUCCAUUCACCUGCUACUGGGCCUCUUGGUUGCUUCCAAGUUUUGGCAAGUAUGAAUAAAGCUGCUAAAAACACAUGUGUGGGCUUUUGUGUGGACAUAAAACUUCAACUCCUUUGGAUAAUGGGAUGGCUAUGUUGUUACAGUAGAGACCACUGGCGUCAAAGGCACCAAGAAAUAGAAUAUGAAUGCAUGCAGUGAUGCAAAUCUAUCUCCCUUCCUGCAAACCCAACUAAAUUGAAUGUCCUACUGAUGAAGAUCUGAU